rnacentral:rRNA from 1 species
GAUGAACGCUGGCGGCGUGCCUAAUACAUGCAAGUCGAGCGAACAGAUGAGGAGCUUGCUCCUCUGACGUUAGCGGCGGACGGGUGAGUAACACGUGGAUAACCUACCUAUAAGACUGGGAUAACUUCGGGAAACCGGAGCUAAUACCGGAUAAUAUAUUGAACCGCAUGGUUCAAUAGUGAAAGACGGUUUUGCUGUCACUUAUAGAUGGAUCCGCGCCGCAUUAGCUAGUUGGUAAGGUAACGGCUUACCAAGGCAACGAUGCGUAGCCGACCUGAGAGGGUGAUCGGCCACACUGGAACUGAGACACGGUCCAGACUCCUACGGGAGGCAGCAGUAGGGAAUCUUCCGCAAUGGGCGAAAGCCUGACGGAGCCACGCCGCGUGAGUGAUGAAGGUCUUCGGAUCGUAAAACUCUGUUAUUAGGGAAGAACAAAUGUGUAAGUAACUAUGCACGUCUUGACGGUACCUACUCAGAAAGCCACGGCUAACUACGUG